ACGUCAGAAGUAACCUUUUAUUUAAAAACAUUCCCACCAUGUCCAAGCCGUCUUACUUUCAAACAAAUGUUCUGGCUGCAAAUACAAAGAGUACCUCCCCUGUACAAAGAAAGAAAAACAAUAAAGAACUCUUAUUGAGGAGUGUCAAUAAUAUCAGACAUUAGGUAAUCAACCUAGUAACAUGGAUUGACAAGAAUUUUAUGAUUGUAAAACAUGUGUGUAUAUACAUACGUAUGCAUAUAAAUCUAGACACAUUGAUGAACCCAUUGUAUAUGUGUGUGUGUGUGUGAGAGUGCUUAGUUCCAAACAUGGUUGAAGUCUUUUGAAAAAUAAAUCAAUAAUGAAAUGUUUGUACAAAUUUAAUCUCAAAGAGAAAUAUGUUUGUAUAUACAUUAUAUAAAUGAGAAUGACAUUAGCCAUUAAAAGCACCAAUCUAAGACAGAAAAUACCACAAGUCCACUGACUUGUGAUUGAAACAGGUAUUUAUUGCUUGGCAACCAAUUUAUUUAUAUUUUAUACAUUAUAUGAAUUUUAUACCUUCCAUUGUUCUCUGCACUUCAAAAAAAAAAAAAAUAUAUAUAUAUAUGUCCUUUAUGCCAAGCCAGAAAAAUUCUGUACAAAAAUGGAAAUUCCUUUGAUCAAGUUAGGUGUAGGUGACAGUGUUUAGAAAAGAAUUCAAGAAACUCUUCAAGUUCAAAAAUAUAAUUUGUUAUAACAGUUUUACCUUUUUUUUUUUUUUUGGAAUGAAAAGAAGUAUUUAUGUAUUCAUCUUUUUUUAAUCUUAUUUUAUGAUAAAUUUAUUUUAUUAAAAAUAGCACUGCUGGAUAUUAACAGAUGUAUUGGUAAAAUAAAUUAGAGAUCAGUUCAUAUCAUGAAUAUAAACAGGAUAUAUCAAAAUUAAUAUGAAAAUCUAUGAUUGGCCUGGAGAGUGGGGAAUGAAGACAUUUACAGAAUGAAUCCAAGUAUCAAAAAAUGGUAGCAUGAUCCAUACCAGUAACCAUUAGUCAUACAUGAUUUAUGUAUACAAUUGUCUAAAUACACACAUA